UACAGAGGUCUCAACCGUUGUUCGGAUUCAUUGGGCGUAAAGGGUGCGUAGGCGGUCGCGCAAGUCGGAUGUGAAAUCUCAGGGCUCAACCCUGAAACUGCAUUCGAUACUGCGUGGCUAGAGUGCUGGAGAGGAGACUGGAAUUUACGGUGUAGCAGUGAAAUGCGUAGAUAUCGGGAGGAACACCCGUGGCGAAGGCGGCCAUCUGGACCAGCACUGACGCUGAGGCACGAAAGCGUGGGGAGCAAACAGG
rnacentral:rRNA from 1 species